GUCGAGGAGUAAGGAGUGAAAGAAAGUGAAGCGGAUCGCUGGACUGGGCUUGAGAAGAUUCGAAGUCAAGAACAUAUCUAAAUAAAAACAACCACCAUCUUAUCAAGUGCUUAUGAUGUGCCGAACAGUAUGUUAAGUGCUUUACACUCAUCUCAGGUGAGUGCUCUCACAAUCAUCAUAUGAAGGAAUUUUCCCUUUACAAAGAAAAGCAAGGCAAAGUUACACAGCUUAAUAGAAAUACAGUUUCCUAUCCAAAAAGUUAAAAAAAAAAACUGUUCAAGUUUUAAAAGUCCCACUUUAUGACUGGACUUUUGAGCGUCUUUAUUACCUUAAGGCACACUCUGAUUACGGGGACAAGGAGGGAAAACAAUACCUAUUACCAUCAUAUCUUUAGACCACAUAUUCCUAGGAACUCAGAAACUUCCAUCUGCCGCCAAGCACAAUUUUGGGCAAAAUCAAACAGAAGGUGACUGGCUCAGAAAUCAAGUGAUGUAAUUUUACACUCCCAGCAGAGAAGCCAAAGGUACUUAAAAGAGUUAUGGCAAAAUUUAACUCAUACCAGAUAUGUUCAAAAUUUAGUAUAUCUUCUAAAGCCCAGCAUUAAUUUAUCUUAUAAUCACCCAAAUAUAAACGUAACAAAAACUCUGUUGGGGGAAAGAAAUCUGUGAGGUAGUGUGUGGGCCUACCUGUGGCUGUUUCUGUAAUUUAGACUAGCUCCUUAGGGUAAACUGUAAAGGUAAAACUACUAUAAAAUUUCUUUCAAAAAUGGUUGUACUGGGCCAGGGAUUUAGCUCAGUGGUUCCGCCGCCUGCCUUGCAAGCACAAGGUCCUGAGUUUGAUCCCCAGUGCCAAAAAGAAAAUGGUUGUACCGAUCAAUGUAAAAGGCCCAUAGCAAAGCAUGAAAUGCACCAAAUAUGAGUAUAUUAUUAUCCUUACCAGAAUCAGGUUUUACAGUUUCUAUACAAAUACACAAUUGCACUUACAUGCUUUAUUAGAAAAGUAUUAUGAAAUAGGAAUUGUAACCUUGGUAGGGAAGGGCAGUACUGGGGAGUUGAACACAGGGUCUUUACUGAGCUACAUCCAUAGCCUUUUUUUAUUUUGAGAUAGGACCUCACUAUGUCACCAAACUGCCUAGGCUGGGCUUGAAUUUACAGUCUUCCUGACUCAGUCUCCCAGAGUGCUGGGAUUACAGGUAUGCACAAUGCACAUCGGGCUUGGGAUUGUAACUUUUAGGUAAUGUCAUCUGAAUGUUUUUCCAAAGAUUAUACUACACCAAAAUUAGUCUCGCCAAAAAUCUCCCAGGGAUGAAAGAGAACUGGAAAUAAAUAGUUUAAGCAUUCAGUAUAAUCAUUUCCCUGUGAAAUAAGAGAUGAGAAUUUUCAAGGCCACAAAAGAAUUGUUUAUAUACUGUUUCCAAGUGAAGUUUUAAGAAAAAUUAUCCCAGAAGACUGACGGCUAACAGUCAUUUAACAGCUAAAAUCAGGCAACCCAGCCUUUUAUAAGCAAGGAACCAGCAGUAAACAGCAUUAACUUCUCUAAUAUUAGAAGGAAAAUCUAUCUCCCCUCCCUUUGAAUAAAAUUUAUUCCAGAGAAAGGAACUCACUUCGGAAAAGGAAAGCUUGUCAGAAAAGAUAAAUGUGAAAACUGAAUCACCUGUAUAUAACACUGCCUAAGCAAUGGUGCAAUCCUGAAGCAGUCAUUUACAUUUUUAUACAUGCCCUACUUCUAACUUAUCUGUCAGAUAUCUGCCAGUCAAGAAAGUUCCACACUUUGAAUACUGACUGAAAUUAAGCAUUCUCGUAAUUAUUCCUGUUUUUAAAAAGAAAGGUCUUGCCAUGUAGUGCAAGUUGGCCCCAAACUUGCAAACCUCCUGCCUAGGCCUCCUGAGAAGCUGGAAUUACAGGCAUAUGCCACUACAUCUGGUUUUUUGGGGGGAAGGGGGUGCAAAUUGCUCUUCAUACAAUAGUAUUUCUGAGAUUUAACUAUAUGGUUGUCUAUUUAAGUCUGUAUUACAUAUCUGAACUACUGGAUAAUAUUCCAUUGUAUCAAUGACUAUUUAUAAAUUUGUAUGUGUGACACUGGGGAAUGAACACAGGGCCUUUAAUAAUGAGCUAUAUCCCCAGCUCUUUCUUUUAUUUUUUAUUUUGAUACAAGUCUCACUAACUUUCCCAGGCUGGGCUCAAACUUGGAAUACUCCUGCUUCAGCCUCCUAGAAUACUAGGGAUUAAAGGUGUGCAUUAUCAUGCCCAGCUUGCAAUGAGAUGUUCCUCAUUUAAUGACUGUUCAGACUUAUGACUCAUCUCUUUUUUUGUACAGUUCAGUACAUCUUGUUUAGAGCCUCAAUGUCUUUUUUUGUACAGUACACCUUUGUUAUACAGUACUGAUUUUUGCUGACUGCACUGUACAGUAGUUUUAUGAUCUGUUCUACAUUACAGUACCACGUGUAAGAGUUAUACAAAUAAAAGUCAGCCAGUUGGGAGUUUCCUUUGCUCAUUUCUUUGUCCUCAAUAUUGUAAUGUACCUACUAUAUACAAUUCCUCAUUUAGCAACCAAUUGAAUUAACAAUCCAGUCUCAGGUCUGUGUUCUGUCAUUAAACAAGGAAUGCCUAUAGCCUAUUAUAUUUUUGGCACAAGUUAUUUGUGGUGCAAAUAAAUACAGCAUUUGUGAAAAGACAAAUGUCUUCAUAAUGUAUUAUUUCUAUAAUGCCUGAUACUGGGGAAAAUAAGCUACCUGACAUUUUUUGGGUAUUCAAGCAAAACCAUCUCAUACAUGAGGUUGCUUAUUUUGCCUCAAUACCCCAAAAAUAUAUAGCUUGCCUGUUUUUUGUGUUUUGGGGUUUUGGGUUUUUUUUUUUCCCAGUACCAGAGAUCGAACUCAGGACCUUUCACUUACCAGGCAGGCAUGGCGUGGCUUGCCUGUUUCGAUGCAGAAGGGAGUAACUGGGAGCACAGUCUUAUGAGACCUGCUGAUCACAUAUGAUACAGGCAGAACAGCUGUGCCAUAGGGCCAGAAAAAUUUAUCAGUGCAUUUUUUUUAUUGGGCUCACUUCUAACAACUAUUUGCUUCCAACAGUUCCUCAACUGAUAAUAAAACUGAUGCAUGUGGAGUUAAUAUAAGUCUCAGAUAUAAACUCUUUGGAAAUGAUGUUACCUUUGAAACUUUGUGAUAUGUAGAAAUGUCCUAUAUCAUAUGGGUGCGUAUAUUUUCUCAAAGGUUAUAUAUACACUUUCUGAACCACAAGAAACUGAACAAUUAAUUAUCACUCAUAUUCUGGGCUCUGUGAUUGUUUUAUGUGAUUGAUUUUUGUCUGACACUCCUGGCUAGUAAGCUCCUUUACUGUGUACUAUAGAUGUCUUUCUGUGUGCAGAGGCAGACAGAGCAGUGGCUCAUUAAUGCCAGUUUCACUGUCAAAGAUAUUUGGCAUUUCCAAUGAUUUUUAUAGAAGCAGGCUCAUGGUCCUGAUAUCUUACUAGCAGUAUUUUAGUUUCACUGGUCCCUCACAAUGACCUUCAGAAGCUCCUUCAUUAAUGAGCCAAAAAUUGGCUGGGUGUGGUAGUGCAAGCCUGUAAUCCCAGCACUCAGGAAGCUGAGGCAGGAAGAUCACCAUGAGUUGGAGGCCAGCCAGGACUACAUGGUGAGUUGAAGGCCAGCCUGAAUUACAGAAUGAGACCCUGUCUCACCCCCCACCCCAAAGGAUAAGUCCUUUAGCAUAUUGUAUAGAGCUUUCACUUUUUUUUCUUCAUCUUCUUGGAACACUGGUGAUCAGAAAGGCUCAACACUUCAGAAGUCUUGUUUUUAAGGAAAUGUAGAAACCAAUGAUCUGAAUAUGAAACUGAUCAAGUAGUCCCCUACUAUAACUACUUACUCCAAAUGUGAAAUAAGAAUUACCCAGAUAUGGCUGCUUCUGCAGAAAGAGAAGUCAUAUACAUGCAGCCAUACAUAUCCUUAUUUGUGAGAAAUUACUCUGGAUUCCCACAAAGUGCAACUAAGAAAAGCAAGCAGUCUUCUAUCUCACUAUGCUAGGCUACCUAAUGCCUAGUAUCCUGGGUUAGGUCCCCUAGGAAACAUCGUAAGACCUUGCUUAUACAAGGUUUGCUGGGAAGUGCUCACAAAAGCAAAAGUGAAGGGGCCGUGCAUUUAGCUCAGUGGUUCCACCACCUGCCUCACAAGUGCAAGGUCCCAAGUUCAAUCCCCGGUACCAAAAAAAUAAAGGAAGAAUGAAGGGAGUAGGCUUAGGCAGAAGAUAAACUCCCAUGUGUGGUGGUAGAUUGAAUCCAGGGCUUUGCACAUGUCAGGCAAGCACUCUUUAUCACUGUGCUACACUCCCAGCCCUGCUUCUUUACUCUUUAAGUUUUUAUUAUUUAAAAAAAAAAGUUUUUAUUUUUUUCAUCAUUACCAGUAUAAUAUAUUGUUUUUAUUAACUUGUUCUAUAAAAUGACAUUAUGGUGAUUCAACAUUACUUUUAGGCUAUACUUUUUGCUAGGUAGACUAACUUAAUAAGUAGAAUUUUAAAGUUACAUCUGUGCUAUGGUUAAACAAAUUAACUCAUCGUACUAGUAAAGCAGGUAACACACAAUCCCUAAAAAAGUUAUAAAAGUUAUCUGGUGGAUAUGGUGCAUGCCUAUAAUCCCAGCUGGUGUGGGAGGCUGAGGCAGAAUGAUCACAAGUUCCAGGCCAGCCUGGGCAACUUAGGCAGACUCUGUCUCAAAGUUAAACAAAAAGGGACACGGACACAGCUCAGAGGCAGAGCACCUGUCUAGCAAGCAUGCACAAGGCCCUGGGGUCAGUCUCCAGUAUGGAGAGAUACUUUGUUUGUGACACUUAAUUAGUACUAUUUUUUUUUUUUUUUCAGGUACCGGGGAUGGACCUCAGGACCUUGUGCUUUCGAGGCAGGCACCAGAACCACUGAGCUAAAAUCCCCAGCCCCUAGUACUAUUAAACUCAUUUUCUGUACAAUAUCAAGACAAAACUCUUAUUUAUUCCCAAAAUAUAUAAUGUACUGUCUAAAGGUUGGAUAAAUGUAGGCUUCUAUGGGAUUAUUUUAUUCUUCUUCCUGGUUGUCAUCAAGGUCUUUUCUGAUGAGAAAAUAUGUAUGAAUGUGAAGAACAAGCCCUAAGGGUGUUCUUGUUUUGAAGAGGAUGUAUCACCUAUAAAGAGCCAAUGCAGUGAGUUCAGCUUUGUGAAGACUGACACAGAUGCUGGUUGUAUACAAGAUGAAUAUUCAGGGUAGAAGUGGAGACAUUCAUCAAUGAUGUUCAGUACAAGGAGACUAAGGGAAGAAUAUGUUAAUAAGAACCUGAUCUAACAAUGUGGCAGCCAAGAGUCAAAGGAAAAGGCCAGAUACAAGAACCACAGACUUAAAAAAAAGAAAGAAACCACAGACUAAAUGUGAUGGAAGUAUGAGACACAAAAUUAUCAGCAAACACAGACUAAAGAUAAACAAGAUAUAUAAACAAGAUGUUGAAAACAGGAAUAAUUUGAAGACUGUAAGAUUAUUGGUACACCUGAUAGUAGGAAAAAAUAUUUACUUUCAACAUUCAAGGAGACUUAAAAGUACAUAUGAAUCUUUGCAGAAACUAGAGAUACUAAGUAUGACAACAGGGUGAGUAGUGAAUAAACUAGACUUUCUUCCAGCUUGCAUUGGAUACAUUUGAUCGUAAAAGUAGCAAAUAAAACUUAAGCCAGGGCCAGUGAUUUAGCUCAGUGGCACAGUGCCUGCCCUACUAGCGCAAGGUCCUGAGCCUGAUCCCUGGUACCAAAAAAAAUUUUUUAAAUUAAGCCAGCGUGAUGCUGUUCAAGGAUAGACAAUUAAACCAAUGAAAAUAAAAUAGCUGGGUGUAGUGGCACAAGCCUAUAAUCCCACCAUUAGGGAGCCUGAGGCAGGAGAGUUUGAAGUCAGCUUGGACUGCAUAGUGAGGUUAUAAACAACAUUAAAAAACCCUGUGGAGAGGGGCGUUGGGGUGUAUAUGUGUGAACACAUACCUGGAGAUGUGAUUUUAUAACAUUAUCUGGAAUUGUGUAUCAAGGGAGAAAGGGAAGAUUUGUCAAUAAAUGGUGUAGUUACUUUGAGGGAACAGAGGGGUGAAAAUCCAACCUCUAUCACAUCAUGCAUAAAAAUCAUUUGCAGUAAAUUAAAACAGGGAGGUCAAAGUUAUAAAUAUUGCAGAAGAUAUUAGACAGCAGCUUUUUGGUGGCAAGGAAGAGAAGGAUUUUUUAAUUAAGACAAAAAAGUAAAAUCCACAAAGGACUAAUGAAUUCAACUAUAUUAAAAUUAAGAACUUCUGGGGCCGGGGAUUUAGAUCAGUGGUUCUGCCGCCUACCUUGUAAGCGCAAGGUCCCAAGUUCAAUCCCCAGUACCAAAAAAAAAAAUUAAGAGCUUCUGUUGAUGCAAAUAUACCAUAGAGUAAAAUAACAAGCAUACAAACCAAUGUUCUCACAGAAAAUUAGUCUAGAAACUUGGACAGGUGUUUCACAAAGAAAAUGUCAAUAGUCAAACCCAUGAAAUGAUGUGCAGUUUCAUUGGCAACUAGGGCACUGCACAUCAAGUCCACAGUGACCUACUGUUUUUCAACAUGCAGGUUUUUAAAUUUUAAGCAUGUGAUAAUAUAAAAUUUUGGAAAGGACAGAGAGCAAGUGGCAUCAUUAUGGUUGCCAAUAGGAGAACACAGAGGAAAACUUUUUAAAAAUUUUGGGGGUCUGAGAAUUUAACGCAGUGGCACCACACCUGCCUGGCAAGCCCAAGGUCCUGAGUUCAAUUCCCAUUACCAAAAACAAAAAACUGGGGACCCGGGGAUGUAGCUCAGUGGCACUGGGCUUGCCUGGCAAGCACAAGACCCAGAGUUCAAUUCCUGGUACUGGAGAAAAAAAAAUUGGGCUUAGUCAAAAUGAUGUGCAUGUGUCCUUCAGAGUGACAAUUCUACUCUUAGGUACGUAUUCUGAAGCAGUGGUGGUGAAUGUAUAGCACUUGUGCUACAGGCAGAUGUUGUUAUCACUGAAAGCUCUGGGACAUGCCUGUAAUCCCAGCCACUUGGGAGGCUGAGGCAGAAGGACUGCUCUCAAGUUCCAGGUCAGCCUGGGCUACAUAGUGAGACCUUGUCUCAAAAAAAAAGGGGCUCUAAAAGGGUUGCCCUCACUGCCCUAGAGAAACUCUCAUAGUAUAUGUGAAGUAGGAAAGGAGGACGGCCACAGUGUAUAAUAGUAAAAACAAAGCUGGACGUGAUGGCACACAUUUGUAAUCCCAGCACUCUGGGAGGCUGAGGGUGAAGGAUCAUAAAUUCUAGUCCAACCUGGGCAAUUUAAUGACUAGAGAGAACCUGUCUCAAAAUAAAAAAUUUAAAGGGGAAGGGCCCUGAGUGUGAAGGCCCUGAGUUCAAGCCCUAGUACUGCAAAGGAGAAAAGGGAGGAGGGGGGGAGUAAAGCAGAGCAGCAACACAAUUCACCCAUCCCAAAUCAGAAAAGAACAGCAAUUAGAAUAAAAAGUAGAGGCAAUUUCUCUAAUGAAAUACUACACAACAAUGAGAAAGAUAAACUGUAGCUACCUACAACAAUACAGAUCAAUGUAAAGGAUAUAAUCAACAAAAGUCGUAAAAGAAUACAUUCAUUAUAAUUUCACACAUAUAAAUUUAAAAAUAUAUGAUACAUUGUUUAAGAAUACAAACUUGGGGAAAUUAUGAAUGGUAAAAACCCAGAAUUAAGAGUGUGAGAAAAGAAUGGGACAGAAGAAAGGAAUGGGGGGUGUUGUUAAUGGUAAAUGUUCAGAUUCUUUAGAUAUGAAAUUUCAUAGUUUCUUUUUUAGCUAUCAUUUAAUUUUGGUUUUUUUGAGACAUGGUCUCACUAUGUAGUCCAGGCUGGCCCUGAACUCAGUGAUCUUCCCGACUCAGAUUCCCAAGUGCUAUGAUUAUAGACAUGCAUCACCAUGCCUUGCUGAGAAACUUUUAUUUGCCAUGUCACUACAACAACCAAGGAAAUAAAGAUCAAAUAAAGGGAGGCGGGAGUGUUUAAUGGUCUUAGCAGUGUAAACUGAAAUGGGAUUUUUCUUUUUUAAAAAUGUACAAAACCAAAAUGUAAGUUAUCCUUUACCAAUCAUAGUGUUCAUUACAAGAAGAUGCAAGAAACAUCAGUGUCCAGCAGUAGUCAGGAUGGUAGGCUUAAGGCAAAAUGGAAGAAACUACCCUGAAAUAACUUGAUUGUCAGAAAUUUUACUACCAGUGAAAAGAACGUACUACCAUAUACAACUGGCUUUAAAAAAAAAAAAAAAAAAAAA